CCAAGGGUAUUUUGAGGCUAAUCCUAAACACCUUACCAAAUUCUAACUGUAUUUUUCGUGAAACUCUUUUUCAUGUGUUUAAUCUCUAGAAAGGGUCAACUCAGUUGGGAAAGAUUUCAAUAAGAUGAAACCUCAAUUCUUCAUUAAAAGAUAUUGGAAAUGAGACCCUCAAAGCACCCAUGGUAUGUGCAGACCUUUAGAAUCUUGCCAAAGCGGGUAUGCCAAACUGAGGACGUUUGUGAUCCAGGAGGACGACGACCUCUGCUCUCCGUCGGGCCGGGACUGCAGCCUGUGCAGAACUGUUUAUACCGGCACUUUGUGCCAAUGAUACACUGCUAAGGGAAUUUCAGAGACUCCACGGUCACAGUGCCAAACCCGUGAUGGCCAGUUGGUGAAGAUCUCUAUUGUCAAGAUGAAGGAGAUGAGGUAAAACUCAAAGGUAAAAAAAACAAAAAAACAAAGAAAGAGAAAGCCUUUCUGGGCAGAUAAGAGCAGAAUUCAAGUCUAUCGACAAAUGCUGCUAGAAGACUGACCUUACCCCAGACACCUGCUGGGAUUCAGUGCCUUUGAGAAGGAAUUGGAACAAAAGUGAUUAGUUAGAUGUUUCCUUAAGGAGAGUCUCACUGCUACUGUGACAUGAGAAUUGCUUACCUGGUCAACCAAGGCAGCCCUGCUCAAGUGGACC
rnacentral:lncRNA from 1 species